UACGUAGGGUGCAAGCGUUGUCCGGAAUUAUUGGGCGUAAAGAGCUUGUAGGCGGUCUGUCGCGUCUGCUGUGAAAAUCCGGGGCUCAACCCCGGACUUGCAGUGGGUACGGGCAGACUAGAGUGUGGUAGGGGAGACUGGAAUUCCUGGUGUAGCGGUGAAAUGCGCAGAUAUCAGGAGGAACACCGGUGGCGAAGGCGGGUCUCUGGGCCGUAACUGACGCUGAGGAGCGAAAGCGUGGGGAGCAAACAGG
rnacentral:rRNA from 1 species